CACAGUGUAGCACAGUGGUUAAGGAGCAGGGCUUGAAACUGAGAGAUUGCCGGUUUGAUUCCCCACUGGGG
rnacentral:tRNA from 1 species